CGCAGAUCUUGCUAUUGAAAUCAAUUUAGAUUCAAUUACAAACAGAGGCACUUCGUUUUAAUACCAAGGAAUGCCCCCGAAUCAACCAAGGUAAAGAUGCUAGCACAUACAACCGCAUGCAAGCAGAGAUAGAAUAAUCCAAACCGUAUUCAUUGAGGCUUUGAUAUGCAAGAACAGUUGGAACAUUCGUCAAAUGAAGUACUUCACCAUCUGAACUUCCUUUUGCUUCAUUUCUCAUAAAAUGGUCUGCUAUCAAUACUGCAAUCAAGAAUCACCAUGUAACACCCAGUUUAUCGAGCAUGAUCAGAUAGGAACUCGAUUAUCUUCUUCCCUAAUUGCUUGCCUCGGAUGCUGGAAUCUACCACUACAUCUUCUAUAUGAUCAACUUUGCCACAAUCCUCGUAAAUUUCUUUUCAACUAACACACUCCCAGUGGCAACACUCCUUCCUGAUUUGUCAUAUUCUAUUACACAUACAAGAUGGUCAUCUCCAAACUUAGCGAGCU
rnacentral:lncRNA from 1 species